rnacentral:lncRNA from 1 species
AAGAAGUCAGGCCGGUUUAAGCCAUAGUACGGUAAGAGCUAUGCUGCCUGUGAGCCCCGUCCAAGGACGUAAAAUGAAGUCAGGCCGAAAGCCACGGCUUGAGCAAACCGUGCUGCCUGUGGCUCCAUCGUGGGGAUGUAAAAACCCGGGAGGCUGCAACCCAUGGAAGCUGUACGCAUGGGGUAGCAGACUAGUGGUUAGAGGAGACCCCUCCCAAGAUACAACGCAGCAGCGGGGCCCAACACCAGGGGAAGCUGUACCCUGGUGGUAAGGAC